rnacentral:sRNA from 15 species
GUUCUUAGUAUUGAUUCAGAUUCAGUCGAUGAGUUUCUCUCGCUUCUGCGCGUUGCGUGUUUCGCAGUGUUUCCGCGAUUUUUUCUUUGUCAUCAUCGUUGCCCACAGUCGCCGCUCGUGCGCCCCUCCGAUUUCAACUGUUAUACGGCGUUCACUUUAAAAAUUUCCUGCAAUUGACAAAAUUAAACAUAAUCAACAAAUCGAUACAUGAAAAUGUACAUAUAUUCAUAUGUAUGUAUGUAUGUUCAUAUAUGGUGCAUGGAUGCAUGUGUUCUUGGCUCGCCAAUAACAGAACGAGUCACAGAAAAUUGCCAAGCAGGCAAAAACACCUACGCGAACAGAACAAUACCAGCAACAUCACCUCAAAGAGAAACCUGAAUCGCAACGUUGUGAUUUCAUUCAACUGCUUGUUGGAUGUGUGUGUGUUUGAGUGCGCGUUAGUGUGUCCGCAGAGGGUAAAGUAAAACAUGAAUGUGCAGACACUACAAACACAUGCAUAUAGAUGCACGUGUGUGUAGAUAUACAAAUACAGAAGGAAGUGUAGAUAGGCAUAAAUGUAUACGGUAAAGAUAUGUCUCCCUUGUGUUUCUCAAGACAUACCCUGUAGUUCUGAAUGUCAUUAAACGAGCUUGUAUAUGGGAUUGGUAAUGACUCUGUUGGAACUAGCCUCCAAGGUACACCUGGGUAACGGGUAUCCAAACGUGUCUAGAAACUUUGCCUCCCUUUGUAGGCAGCUAUCGCAAUAGGUUGUCUGCUGCCGAGAUCAUAAGGUAGAGUCUUGGCCCAGACCAGCAGUUCGACACGUGAGCCCCAAUGACUUUGCCGUAGGAAAUGGUAUUGUCCAAAUACAUUUUAUGUGGCCGUCUGUUUUACUUAUGUACAUGACAUAUGUACAUAUUUAGUUAGAUAGUUACAUUGGCUAGUAUGCAGUACUGUUGGGUACUACGCACACAUCUAUUGGUACUUUGAACUACCCAGAACACCAACGCAACGAGGCUUUUGCAUGACUCUCGCAAUAUGGAAAUGUGCUCACUUGUGAAAAGAAAAAAACUAGUGAUACAUUUGUUUAUCGCAAAACACUGGCCAACGAGCUCGAAAGUGAGUGAUACAGUUUUGUGCCGAAAAACAGUCGCAAACCAGCUCGCGAGAGUAAAAUCGUCUCGCAAAACGGUCGCUUUCACUGCCGCAAAGUAAACGAGGCGAUAUCAUUGGCUGGGUACAUGAAUGAACACACAUGCGGUGGUACUUGUUCAGCAGAGACGCAAGCAGCGAUAGGAAAAAUACGGACAGCGACUCGGAUCUCGGUCAGCUGAAAUCCCGAAACUUCAAUUGAAUUUUCAUUAUUUUGCAAAGGAAUGAAUAAAGGAAAUCUACAUUAAAAAUGAACA